AUAGUGUCAGUAUUUUUCAAAUAAGCAUUGAAUGCGGUAGCGUUGAAAUAAAAGCGGCUUAAAAACUCCAAAGCAAAGAAUAACUAAAGGAGAAAAACAUGUUUUUCGAUUUGUUGCAAGGUUUAUUGGAUAUGAUUUUGGGCUUGCUGCCAUUUGGUGGUGGUGGCGAUGGCGGUGAUGACUCCGAAGAGUCGUAAUUAUAUUUCCAUGCCAAAUGCUCAUCGAAUGUUCCAGACCUCAAUUUUAACUAUACGCCUGAGUGAUUUUGGCUUGUUUGAGUCAUCCAUUUCAUUUAUUUUCAUAAACAUCAACGAUUUAGUCAGAAACUGGAAAAUUCCCUUACAUUGUCCCCGCAAUGGACCAAGUUAUUGAGAUGUUGGUUGAUUUUAUCAACAAUUUUUUUCGAGUCGUAAGUGGAAUUUCAGCAGCUGGGUCACCUACGUCAGGCGAUGAACCAGAUUCUGAUGAAGUUGAAAUCAUCAACUCCAAAUCCUAAUACACCACUUGAUGUUAUAUUCAUAUAUAUAUAAUCUUUAUAUGU